GCCAGACUCCUACGGGAGGCAGCAGUGAGGAAUAUUGGUCAAUGGGCGGAAGCCUGAACCAGCCAAGUCGCGUGAGGGAAGAAGGCCCUGCGGGUCGCAGACCUCUUUGGACGGGGAGCAAGGCCGCCGACGUGUCGGCGGAAGGAGAGUACCCGUAGAACAAGCAUCGGCCAACUCCGUGCCAGCAGCCGCGGUAAUACGGAGGAUGCGAGCGUUAUCCGGAUUUAUUGGGUUUAAAGGGUGCGUAGGCGGAAUGCCAAGUCGGCGGUAAAAUCGCGGGGCUCAACCUCGCUCCGCCGUUGAAACUGGCAGUCUCGAGUUGGAGAGAAGUAUGCGGAAUGCGCGGUGUAGCGGUGAAAUGCAUAGAUAUCGCGCAGAACUCCGAUUGCGAAGGCAGCAUGCCGGCUCCACACUGACGCUGAGGCACGAAAGCGUGGGUAUCGAACAGGAUUAGAUACCCUCGUA
rnacentral:rRNA from 1 species